GGGGCUAUGGCUCACUGGCAGAGCAUCUGCAUGGAAUGCAGAAGGUCCCAGGUUCAAUCCCUGGUAUCUCCA